GCGGUUAUCUACUGCAUUCCUUGCUCCAAGAUAAUGGGACAGAGUAUUUUCACCGGAAAUGUUCAGUCUAGCACUGUUUAUUUCUGUACGGGGAUGAAAUGAGGGAUUUUUUUUCCCGAAUAUACCAAAUGGCCAGUGAAAAUGCUUUUGCAGAAACAGAUGCUGCCUGAUCUACUGAAUGUAUCGUAGGAAGAUAUGAAUUAUGAACAUAGGAACAGGAGGAGGCCAUAUAGCUCUUCAAGCCUAUUCCACCAUUCAAUUAGAUUGUGGCUGAUGUGUAAGCCAUAUCCCUUUAUGCCUUUGGUUAACAAAAAAUUUAAUCAAUCUCCAAUUUAAAAUUAAUAAAUGAUCUAUCAACAAUU